rnacentral:pre_miRNA from 9 species
UCUCGAUAGCGUAAACGUUAACUCAAAUUUGUAUGUUAUUGGAACGUUUGCUUACGUUUGCCGCUAGGGGCGCUGUUCCAAACUGCAUACUUUGAGUUAACGUUUACGCUUUCGA